AGCCACUGGGCAUCAGGAAGAAGAUGCUUCCCCUGCAUGAAGACGUUAUGUUUACUUCCCGAACUUCAUUGAAAAAGGAUUUUACAGCCCUGGGCCUGGAGGGUCACCCCUGUCAUCCCAACAUUAGGGAAGCUGAAGCAGAAAAAUCGCCAAGUUGAAGGCUAGCCUGGGCCACACAGAGAGACUCUGACCCAGACAGGACAAAACAACACUUUACAAAAAUGCCAGCAUCCCUUAAAUCUGCGGGUCUAAUCUGGAAGCUGGCCGCUCUGAAAAGAGACUGAAGUUACAACUGGCUACACAGGUGAGUGCUGCUUGCCAAGAACUCAGGGUGGCCUCGGGCACAGGGUAGUGUGGCCGCUUGUGGCCUGGGAGACUGGGUCUUUCUAACCCGCAGUGUAACCACCUACUGCCACACCGAACAGAAUGGGUGUAAAAAGCCAGCGUCUGGCCCUGCAUCUAAAGGGCCCGUGUGACCCCGGGCUGUAGGAUGCUGCACCAGAAACACAGCUGUUCUGAGGCAGGAGUGGGACAAAGGCUUUGCAUCUGGAAGUCAUCCAAAGCUUCCAGCUGUCAGAGUCAAACCAGGAACCAUGGAAACCAGCCCCUUGCAGCACUGUGUCGCUCUCUGCUUACACUGUCGGGGACCAUGCCUUGCUGGUGGGAAGCUUUGGUCAACCAUGGCUCCACCUGGAACAUCAGAUCCGGCAGGCCAAGACUUGACCCCUCCACAGAAUGGACCUCACUUCACACAAUAGCUUCAGGUCCUGGCUGGUAUUGGUGCUUUGGACAGAUUUGCUGUAAACUGGGGAUGGGGGUUAUGCCUUGAAUUUGAGUUCCUCUGAGUAUACUUUGUCACUUGCUAGAAUUGUUCGUAGAACUCUGAAAGACAUUUUACAUACAUUGAUCUUUUUAUUUUCAAGGGGCCAGCUUUAAGACCGAGCAUGUGGCAGAAGUUCUGAGGGAUAGGGAAGCUUGUCAUGGCCUUGGCAGGCAUUACCCUCCACAGCUCCCACAUCUGGAAGUUCUCUGAAUUCUACAGUUCCUCUCUUGGUGGUUGCAGGAAAUAUAAAAAAACAAACGAGC
rnacentral:lncRNA from 1 species